CUCUGAGCAAUUGUCAUCCACAGGGAAAUGGAUAGAUGAAGGUGAUAGGGAGCCGAUUCUGGGCUCCUCGACACCAGCAAGUAAAAAUAACCCUUCCCCGCAUAAUCAUAUGGCUUGUGAUUUCUAUUUCCUUAUAGAUUCUACUUGGAAUGCAUAGUUUCAACUGUUGGACCUGAGGCAAAAGUGAAGAAGAGAACAGGA
rnacentral:lncRNA from 1 species